rnacentral:rRNA from 1 species
AUUGAACGCUGGCGGCAUGCCUUACACAUGCAAGUCGAACGGCAGCACGGGUGCUUGCACCUGGUGGCGAGUGGCGAACGGGUGAGUAAUACAUCGGAACGUACCUUAUCGUGGGGGAUAACGCAGCGAAAGCUGUGCUAAUACCGCAUACGCCCUGAGGGGGAAAGCGGGGGUUCGAAAGACCUCGCGCGAUUAGAGCGGCCGAUGCCUGAUUAGCUUGUGGGGGGGGUAAAAGGCCACCAAGGCGACGAUCAGUAGCUGGUCUGAGAGGACGAUCAGCGACACUGGGACAGAGACACGGCCCAGACUCCUACGGGAGGCAGCAGUGGGGAAUUUUGGACAGUGGGGGCAACCCUGAUCCAGCAAUGCCGCGUGAGUGAAGAGGGCCUUCGGGUUGUAAAGCCCUUUUGUCAGGGAAGAAACACCGGCUCUAACACAGUCCGGGAAUGACGGUACCUGAAGAAUAAGCACCGGCUAACUACGUGCCAGCCGCCGCCGUAA